CUGGCUCAGGACGAACGCUGGCGGCGUGCCUAACACAUGCAAGUCGAGCGGGUAGGUGCUUUAAUGAACCUUCGGGGGAUUUAAAGUACUGAAAGCGGCGGACGGGUGAGUAACGCGUGGGGAACCUGCCCUAUGCAGGGGGAUAGCCUCGGGA
rnacentral:rRNA from 1 species